GUGCACACUUCCGCAACACAUAUACUAAAAUUGAAUAAUACAGAGAUUAGCAUGGCCCCUGAACAAGGAUGAGUAUGACAUGCAAAUUCAUGAAACAUUCCUUAUUUUC